rnacentral:misc_RNA from 1 species
CCAAUAGCGUAUAUUAAAGUUGUUGUGGUUAAAAAGCUCGUAGUUGAACCUUGGGCCUGGCUGGCCGGUCCGCCUCACCGCGUGUACUGGUCCGGCCGGGCCUUUCCCUCUGUGGAACCUCAUGCCCUUCACUGGGUGUGACGGGGAAGCAGGACUUUUACUGUGAAAAAAUUAGAGUGCUCCAAGCAGGCCUAUGCUCGAAUACAUUAGCAUGGAAUAAUAAAAUAGGACGUGCGGUUCUAUUUUGUUGGUUUCUAGGACCGCCGUAAUGAUUAAUAGGGACAGUCGGGGGCAUCAGUAUUCAAUUGUCAGAGGUGAAAUUCUUGGAUUUAUUGAAGACUAACUACUGCGAAAGCAUUUGCCAAGGAUGUUUUCAUUAAUCAGGAACGAAAGUUAGGGGAUCGAAGACGAUCAGAUACCGUCGUAGUCUUAACCAUAAACUAUGCCGACUUGGGAUGGGUAAACGUUGACUUUAUUGACUUUAUUCGCACCAUAUG